UGGAGAUGCUUGUUUAAAUUUUUACUUA
rnacentral:piRNA from 1 species